UCCUGAAAGUAAAAGAAAAUUCAGCAGGGCGGGCAGGUGAAUGCGGGUGAAAAUGCUAUGCUGACAGAACGGGUUGAAAUUUUGCAGGUUAAGACAUACUCACCCCAUCGCCAUCCAUACAUAUUCCAGACCUUAAGUAUUUAAGCAUCUCUUUUUCGAAUUUUGUGUUAAUCAAGCACCGCCAUAUAAAUUAAAACACGCAAGCAUCUAUUUUCCAUUUAUCAAAUUAUAGCUUCGGGUUUUAGACCUCUGCAUGCAUAAGCAUAAACGAUCUUUCAUCUGGACAGACAUGUGAGGAAGUAAACAUCCACUGGAAAGUGGAAAGGGACCACUUCUUUAAAGAUUCCUGGCUCAAAUAUCUUCAUAUCUCACUACACAUGAUCAUAAUCAAUCGUGAAUCCAUAACUAAUUCGCAAUGCAUUAAACUAUUUGUAUUAGUUAUACAUACCGGCGCAUAAUGUCUAUCUCAAGCAUCAAGUGGGCAUCAAAUUCAAUCCCUUUAUCAUCUUCGAUAUAUGCUCGGAAUCAACUGAUUUCACGUUACAUCAAACGCCACUUCAAAAAUUCAAA